rnacentral:rRNA from 1 species
CAGUCGCCGCGGUAAUACGGAGGGAGCUAGCGUUGUUCGGAAUUACUGGGCGUAAAGCGCGCGUAGGCGGUUACUCAAGUCAGAGGUGAAAGCCCGGGGCUCAACCCCGGAACUGCCUUUGAAACUAGGUGACUAGAAUCUUGGAGAGGUCAGUGGAAUUCCGAGUGUAGAGGUGAAAUUCGUAGAUAUUCGGAAGAACAUCAGUGGCGAAGGCGGCCAUCUGGGAUAACACUGACGCUGAGGCACGAAAGCGUGGGGAGCAAACAGGAUUAGAGACCCCGGUAGUCCCUGUCUCUUAUAC